rnacentral:snRNA from 1 species
AUACUUACCUGGCAGGGGAGACACCAUGAUCAAGAAGGCGGUUCACCAGGGCGAGGCGUGUCCAUUGCACUCCGGCCAUGCUGACCCCUGCGUAAUUCCCCAAAUGCGGGAAUCUCGACUGCAUAAUUUAUGGUAGUGGCGGGACUGCGUUCGCCGCUCUCCCCUG